UUCUCUGUCUUUAGCCGCAAGUCUUCUUAACUAAAAUUUUAGUUGGCGACGACUGAUAUCAAACAACGGCCCAAGGCUCCACUAGGCAACCACGUGACUUGUUGAUUCAACAUUUUUGCAAGCACGAACACACGAAUGAUUCCACUCGGUGUAAUAUCAACUCCAGUCGCUUGUCGAUGUAUGAAGCAAAGGGUUUGCCACGAAUCGUGACGAUCGAUCUCCCUCCCACAAGAUGUUCUUUGUGUACCAGCACCAGUGGGUUGCGAGAACAUGUCUUUGCUUGGUAACUGAUGCAGAGUGGCUGACAUCAAUAAAAUUUUUGAUAUUUUGAGAACUAUUACGAAGGGCAGGACAAUUCACGCAGGAUACUUGAAGUCUUUGCUGCGGUCCAACAGCACUAUUAUGGCAUCACUAGGUCCGUAGUGCAAGAGUUUGUAAAAACCUGCCAAACUUGUUCAUGCAAGCAGCGCCAGAUGUCUGUUGCUUCUAUCGGCCUAUACCCUCUCCAGGCUUUAGGAAAGGAGGGCAAGUCAAUUUAGUGGAUAUGUCACACAAUGCCGACAAUGAAUUCAAAUGGAUUGGCCAUUACAUAAGUCACUUUUCAAAGUUUAAUAUUAUUUGGCCGCAACAGAAGAAUACGGCAUUUGAAGUUACAAGAUGCCUUAUUUAAGCAAAUCUUUAGCAUUGUUGGAAUACCAUUGAUUUUGCAACAUGACAACGGAACAGAGUUUUGCAAGAAGGUAAUGCUGCUAUAAAGCCAUGUGUGCUCAAUUGGUUAAAGAAUGCAUUUAGAGUGCAAAUAUCCGGGACUUUUGGGUCAGAAGUUUAAUAUGCAGGAUGGGCGCACUUAGGCAAGGAACUCGCAUGCAAUUGCAUUUCUCUCUCAGUAUGGAGUAUUGUUUCUGUCAAAAACAAGUACAGCAAGUGCAUAGUGACUGAUGGUUGUAGCUAGAUUUACUUUGUAGCAAGUGUAUAGUGACAUAGUGACUGUUGGUUGGCACGAGCUACAUAGUAGUAGCAAGUGUAUGGUGACUGUUGACCUGGGCCUUAAUUAAGGGCUCUUGUAGAAAUGUAUGUAUGUAUGCAUGCAUGUAUGUAUACUGACUGCACAAUCUAUCAACUUAUAACAUCGUCUUUCUUUUCUUGUAUUAAAAUAAUUCAAAAAUUUUUGUUGUAUUGCCCAGGAGAUUGCAAAAUUAUUACUGGGCGAUCUCAUCGUUCUCUAGUAGCAGAGCAAGCCCACAGAACACUCACACAUAUUCUUGCUGCAAAGAGAACUGACAUUGCAACUCUGCCUGGAUCACCUACCUGCCUCUUGUCCAAUGUAUUGAGUUGAUUCGAAUUACUUGAAGUGACCAUUCUGUGGCUGAUGGUCAUUUCACUAAUUAUUCGGCUAUAGAGACUAUUUCACGUCUCUAAUCUGUACUGGUGCUGCUAGAUGAUACUAAACACGAUGGCGAAACAUUCAGUGAUAGCAAAGCUAGUCACAACUUGUUCUCCAUAUCAGAUGAUUGGGCUUGAUGGUACCUAUUGGUACGACGGACGUGAUGUUAUUUCUAAUGUGGACUCUGCUUCAACUGAAUGUGCAGAUUACAGCUCAGAAAGUAUUCAAGCAGAUUUAGUACGUUGUGCCAUCUGUCUCCAGUUACUGACAACAACAAAGAAAGUGAAGAUGAUCCUUCUAGCGAUGAUUUUAUUUCUAUCUUACAAGCAUCUCCUCUACCACAGGAAGUAGUUCCUCAUUCAGCUGCCUGAGGUGGCCGGAUGGGAAGGCUUCACUGCCAGUUAAUGGGAGAAACGAAUUGCAAGAUUUGCCGGUAACAUCCCCACUUAGCAAGGUGGCAGCAUGGACUGCAGUGACAUUCUACAGCAGAGUACAGUACUUCAAGUACCAUUCCAGGACAACUACUUUCUAAUGGCCGGUCUUAGCACUUGUAACUGAGUUGAAAUGCUAUAUUACGGAAGACGUGAAUACCCUAACAUGCUCCAACUUCCACGAAGAUGAAAGUUUGAGCCUUUGCUUAAUUUGCAUGGCAUUGCCAGUUACGAAACAAUCUUGGUUGUUAAGACUUCAUCUGUGUGAGAAAGACGGGCAAAGUGUUUUUUGCUCACUUACCUUGGACUAUCUUGCACCUAGUUUUUGGACGGCAACAAUGAGCCUAGAGCAUAAUGGACAUCCAGGCAAUACAGAGAGAUCACAUCUUACAGCCAGUUGACGAUAGCUAUGGGAAACACUGGGCAAGACAUACUACAACAUUAUUCUUCCAACGUUUGCUGUGAUAAAGAUUAGAAAGACUUUUCUACUUCUGCAGAGUACACAGGAUUUCAGUAUUAGGGUUACAGCAUGUAAAACUCAUUACUUGAUGUAUUUGCAAUUUAAUUAAAUCUACUUUGAUCCGAUGCUGCACAGU